rnacentral:rRNA from 1 species
GUGAGGAAUAUUGGUCAAUGGGCGCAAGCCUGAACCAGCCAUGCCGCGUGCAGGAAGACGGUCCUAUGGAUUGUAAACUGCUUUUAUUUGGGAAUAAACCUCCUUACGUGUAGGGAGCUGAAGGUACCAAAUGAAUAAGCACCGGCUAACUCCGUGCCAGCAGCCGCGGUAAUACGGAGGGUGCAAGCGUUAUCCGGAAUCAUUGGGUUUAAAGGGUCCGCAGGCGGUCAUAUAAGUCAGUGGUGAAAGCCUACAGCUCAACUGUAGAACUGCCAUUGAUACUGUAUGACUUGAAUUCGAUCGAAGUGGGCGGAAUGUGACAUGUAGCGGUGAAAUGCUUAGAUAUGGCACAGAACACCAAUUGCGAAGGCAGCUCACUAAGGCGAUACUGACGCUGAGGCACGAAAGCGUGGGGAUCGAACAGGAUUAGAUACCCUAGUAGUCC